AGGUAACAAACAGAUCUCUGAACUUCUUUUCUUUCUUCUCAGCUUUGCGGAUUUUCUUCCGAUCUGACCGGGAGAGCUUAGUAUCCUGCACUUGAACUGUUUCUGCACUUCUACCAGAGAAGCAAGGCUCUUCUUUUGGCAAAGAGGUGAUGAGAUCCUGCUGCUUGAGAACAGUCAAGUCCUUGGGUUUUUGCAGAACAGGAGGCUGCGGGGCGUCUGGUAGGCAAACAGCAGAUCUCGUUUCUUUCUGUAACACCUUCGCUAACUGAGGAUCAACUUUCUGUGACACCAUGGAAGCUGGACGCUGAACUCCCUGUGACACCAU
rnacentral:lncRNA from 1 species